UACGUAGGGCGCAAGCGUUAUCCGGAAGUAUUGGGCGUGAAGAGCACGUAGGCGGUUUGUCGCGUCUGCCGUGAAAGUCCGGGGCUCAACUCCGGAUCUGCGGUGGGUACGGGCAGACUAGAGUGAUGUAGGGGAGACUGGAAUUCCUGGUGUAGCGGUGAAAUGCGCAGAUAUCAGGAGGAACACCGAUGGCGAAGGCAGGUCUCUGGGCAUUAACUGACGCUGAGGAGCGAAAGCAUGGGGAGCGAACAGG
rnacentral:rRNA from 1 species